GCAGGUGUGGCGGAAUUGGCAGCAGACGCACUAGACUUAGGAUCUAGCGCCUACGGCGUGGGGGUUCGACUCCCUUCACCUGCACCA
rnacentral:tRNA from 1 species